rnacentral:tRNA from 1 species
GGGGUUGUAGCUCAGUGGUAGAGCGCUUGCCUAACAUGUGUGAUGCACUGGGUUCGAUCCUCAACACCA